UGAUUCGGGGUACAAGGAAGAACAGACCUAUGUGCAUUUUGUAGGAAGAAAACUGUGAAUGGAAAAAGGAGAAGGGGAGAGAAACGGGGGAAAUCUGGAUAAUACAUUAAAGUAACCAUAAUUUUGGAGAUGCAUUCAUCUUAUUGAAAAUAUAUUUCCUCAUGGUUGUGAUUCCUCUUCACUCUUUUGAAUUUGGAAGGAUGGCAUACACAUCUGAAAAAUACCACUACUUCCUUCAUUGGACUGCAAGGUAUUUCUGUUUGGAAAAGUAAUGGAGUCCAGUCAACUUCAUUGAUCGCCAAGGACUGUCAAAAUUAUAAAACUUGCUGUGGAGCUCUGACAUGCCAGAAGCCGCUAGAAAAAGAAGUUUGACAUUCAGAAACUUAUCAAGAGGUUCUACUCUUUGGAUAGAGACCAAAAUCAUACUUUGAAAAAGAAAGCCUGACAGGUUUCUUCGGAAAAGUGGCCAUCCAUGGAAUGAAUGAAAUGUUCUCUUUCUAUUCCAGGGAUUGCAGUGGCAAAGCUAGGCUAGGUCUUGGAGGCUGGUGUAAGGCGAUGUGGGUGAAGGCAGGAGGCUGAUGGAAAGACUGGGGGGAAGAAAAGCCGAAAUGGAUUCACGGUGCCUUGGAUGAAGGACGAGAGGGGAACUGCAAGCUCCUUCAACUGGUUCUGUCCGGUGAGAAGUGAUCAAGCUUGGGCUGACAAGAGGCUCAGGGAGCCCUCACGUUCUUUCGCUUUUUUACCUGCCAAUCAAACUGCUACAAGACAACACCCUGAUCUGGCAUGGACAUCGCGGGUCCAAGCCUGUAGCCCCAAAUCGGAUAAUCUCUGCAGCUGAUAACAAGCAAAAGAGAAGCCAGGCAACAGCCAUAUUAAAGAAGAAAACAAUCAACUCUGAGAUCCAACUUAGAAAUAAUGUUUCAUUCAAGAUAAGGCUCGUGGCUUAGGAGAUUGUGACCUGGCUUGCAUCAUUCUAAGACUUCUAUCGUCUGUUUUCAAAACCCAAGGAGGACCUCCUUUUCUGUGUGAUAGUUCCUCAUGCUUUGCCAGCCACUGGGUCUUUAAGGAAGCUUGCCAAGAGUUCCCGGCUGGGAAGGACAGUUCGAGUUCAUCAUAGACAAUGAGCUGGCACCACAGUUUAAGUGACUCACCAACCUGGUUGCCCACUUCAAAAUGUCAAGAACCACACUAUCUAAUUGAAAGAACUGUGUUUUAGCAAAGUGUAAUUGGAUCGCCUGGCAAGAUCAUCUCAAACUAUGUCUCUGACCUUGCCUUUCAGUGGCUAUUUUGAGCACAAGAGGAGAAAGGAAAUGAUUCCUGAAUUAUAUCUUGUUUUUAAAAAUUAAGAUUAAUUAAUACUUGGUUUUAUGUUCAUUCCAUUGUAGGAACUUAGUGAUUAUUACAAAACAGUCAAAAUAGGUCAUAGCAAAAUGAACGUUUAAGAUUAGGUUAAAACAUUCCUCUGAAAUUUUAGUAUUCACUUUUGAAGUGUCAAUUACUAUAUUUCUGUAAUUUCUCAUUUUUUUCUUGGCUUAGAGUCAAGAUGAAAAAUGAUAUUUGAAUCAAAGACAUUGUUUUGUUAUAUAGCCACUCCUUUCUAAAAUGCAAAUCCACCCUCCCCUCACCAAUGCUUUAUUCUUUGUGCGCGCACACACACACACACACACACACACACACACACACACACACAGACAUACACAGAACCAGCACCCAAAUGGUAGAGGAGGUCCUUCCAAGACUUCUAGGACCUGGAUCAUGUAAGCAGUAGAUGAGAAAAUGAAGUAAGAGAUAUAGAGUAAUAACAAUAAAAGUCAAUGAUUUCAUUUUACAAAAAAGUCAUUGUGUAGUACUCAGAUAUUUUUAAGAGCAAGUAUUAUUAUGACUAAAGUAUAUUAUACUUCUAAAUUAUUAUGAUUCUCAUCUAAUUUCAAGCCACACAUAGGCGCCAUUUGAAAGCAUUUUGUGUUACAACCUAUCAACAAAAAUCAACUAAUAGUUUUAUAACGUGCAUAGGUUUACCCCAUGGGGAAUUAAAAUUUUUAUCUGCAAGUAUUUCUGUUGUUGUGAGACUUUAGGACAAGACAACAUUUGGUGUUAACAUAGAAGAAUAUUCUAUGGCUUUUUUAGCUUUAAAGUUCAUUACUCUAAAAUAAAGUACACGUGGUAUUUUUUUCUUCCUAGUGUUCUCUUAUUAUAUGUAGAGUAUUUUCGGUUGUUGUUUUUAACGUAUACAUUAUUUUUAUUAAGUCAUUUCAUAAAAGAUAAGAUAUAUACUAAUAGACCCUUGGUUUUCUCCUAAUUUAAUUAUUUCAAGUCAAGCAAAAUUGGGCAAUUUUCUUUCAGGAAAAAAAAAAUAUUGAGCAUGAUUUUGAGGUAAAACUGAUUAUUUACAGCAUCUUUUCUCUAAUAGGCUAACAUUUAUGAUGGAUCUUAUUUCAAAGUUGAUUAUUCUCAAAGAAAAGUGGAGAUAUUAGAAUUUCCGAGUAAAUUGCAUUGUUUUAAAAAGUACUUUAAUGCAUUGUUCACAUUGUUGCCAGCUAUUGACCAAAAAAGAGAAGAAGAAAAAAGAAAUAAAAAAAGCAGUAUCUGCUCCAAACGUCAAGUUUUGCAGUUUGAAAGACUUGUACAUUAUAAUUGUUUUUUUCUUUUUUGGAAAGCAGUAGUAAUUAAUACCAAAGGCAUAGACAAUUUAGGGCCAUAACCUCCCUUCCCCCCUCUCCACCUUUUUUUUUUUUUUUUUUUUUUUUUAACUUUAACCAUGAUAGGCAUCUCUGCAAGGUAGGUUUUAACAUAUUUUUUUCCUAAUUUUUUUCCCUCCAUUCAGUAAGAAGGAUAAGCUUUUAGAGUACCCAGUCACCGUGGUAACUGCCAAAAAAAUUCUCCUGAAGUUUGAAGAGGUCAGCUAGCAGGGUCAACAACCCUGGCCUCUCUCUGAGCUCGGUCUAGCAUGCCCCAGCCUGCGGUUGGAGUGUCAGGCCAGAUCUGACCCUGGGAGGUGGACCAUUCUGGCUCUGAUAUAAAUUUUUCGAGUCAGUUCAUGGCCUGGACUCUCCAGGUGGCCUCCAAAAUCGAUUUUGACCCCCUGACCCUGUCUCACGGAGGCAUAGCAUCCACCCUAAGUAAGGAUUUAGCCAGGAAUGACAGCUUUCCACUGAGUGUUAUUGGGGACAGUAUAAACAGUUUGGAAAGCAAGUAAGGAGGUGUGAGGGCUAGCAAUCAUUAAAAGCACAUUAAAAAACAAUUUUUAAAAAUCUUUAUUAGAGAAAGUUGUAAAUGCAUAUCUGUUACAGAAUUCCUGUGAUUUGUAGAGUUUUCUAGUCAGUUUUGAAUAUAAAUAGGUCACAUAUCUUUAUCUUUUUGCAUACUUUGUUACAAAUAUGCAAAUAAGAUAGGCAUACUUGCUACAAAAUAGGUACAGCAGGAAUGUAAUAUGUUCAGAAAAGGCAAACUGGUUAUUAAAACACAUUAACAGGUAAGGAGUUUCUAAUAUUUUAAAUACUAAAAUUUUACAUGUGUAUUUUGAAGUUUUUAAAAUGGAAAAAUAAAGAACCUUUAAAA
rnacentral:lncRNA from 1 species